rnacentral:rRNA from 1 species
AUGUCCAUCUCGCUGCGCCUCGUGAUCCCCAUCGCAGCGCCCUGCCCCGUGCCGCCGCCGCGGACGGCGCGGAAUGCGGGCUGCUCUCCGCUCUCUGCGGCCGCCGUGCCGGUGCGGACCACGGGCGCGCUCAGGGGAUGCGCCGCUCUGCCGCUGAGGCCGCAGUCGCUGGUCCGGCCAUGCCGGAGCCGGGGGAGCGGCAUCGUCUGCAACGCGUCGGCGUACCUCAGCCCGCCGACGACGCAGUGGGUCUCCGUCGCGGCCGCCGCAGUGCUAUUGCUUGCUAAAGGCACAGGCAUACACAAAUCUUUCCUCGUGCCAUUGUUUGUUCUGCAAGCACCUACCGCCGUAAUCUCAUGGAUCAAGAGUGAAUAUGGGCUGUGGACUGCUUUUCUUGCGCUUGUGGUGCGUUUGUUCUUACCCUUUCCAGGUGAGCUAGAGCUUCCACUGUCAACAAUGCUGGCUGUCAGCGUUGCUCCUUACCAGGUGAUGAAUGUGAGUGUGCUAUUGGCUUCUAAAGAGAUUGGCAUACACAAAUCUUUGCUCAUGCCAUGGUUUGCACAGCAAGCACCUAGCAGUGUAAUCCCAUGGAUCAAGAGAGAAUAUGGACUGUGGACUGCUUUUCUAGCGAUUUUGGUGCGCUUGUUCUUACCCACUCCAGGUGAGCUGGAGCUUCCACUCUCAACAAUGUGGCUUAUCAUCAUUGCUCCUUACCAGGUGAUGAGUCUGAGGGGAACUCAAGCUGGCAGGAUACUAUCUUUGGCGGUAGCCGUGUAUCUCGCCUUUCAGUACUUCACCAGGAACAGAGGGUUGCGCAGAGCCUUCCGUCCGGGAUCGAUAGUCGCGACCCUGGCUGUCAUCUGCAUCACAGUUACCAACGUGAUCCUGCUGUUCUGA